GUAUUAGCCGCGGUGCUCGGCCCCUUUGCUUGUCCUAGCCGCAGCGCUCGGCCCAGAAAUUGUCUUAACAUAAGCUAACCCUUAUCUAGCCGAAAGUUCUUAUUUUCUCGGUUUUUCAGAGACUUUUAUUGUUCAUUAAUAUGUUAAGUUGUUAAAAAAUGUAGUAUUUUUGAUCCUACGUCUAAGAUGAAGAGUGAGCUCUAAGCCUGUCAAGAUGAAAAGUGAGGCGGGUUCUAGUAAAGCUAGCUCCCAGCCUAGCCAGGUGUCAGGGAAGGUGAGUCGAGGAGAGAAA